AGAGUUUGAUCCUGGCUCAGGAUGAACGCUGGCGGCGUGCCUAAUACAUGCAAGUCGAACGAGGUGCUUUUGUAGCAAUACGGAAGUAUCCUAGUGGCGAACGGGUGAGUAACGCGUUGGUGACCUACCCCAAAGUGUGGGAUAACAGUCCGAAAGGACUGCUAAUACCGCAUGUGGUCCUCAGGUUUAGAAACUGAUGACUAAAGGAGCAAUUCGCUUUGGGAGGGACCUGCGUCCCAUCAGCUAGUUGGUAGGGUAAUGGCCUACCAAGGCGACGAUGGUUAGCGGGUCUGAGAGGAUGAUCCGUCACACUGGCACUGGAACACGGGCCAGACUCCUACGGGAGGCAGCAGUGAGGAAUAUUGCGCAAUGGGGGAAACCCUGACGCAGCAACGCCGCGUGAGUGAUGAAGGCCUUCGGGUCGUAAAGCUCUGUCAAGUGGGACGAAGGAAGUGACGGUACCUCUGGAGGAAGCCCCGGCUAACUCCGUGCCAGCAGCCGCGGUAAUACGGGGGGGGCAAGCGUUGUUCGGAAUUACUGGGCGUAAAGGGCGCGUAGGCGGUUUCGGAAGUCAUGGGUGAAAGUCCUCGGCUCAACCGAGGGAUUGCCUGUGAAACCACGGGACUGGAGUGCUGGAGAGGGAAGCGGAAUUCCCAGUGUAGCGGUGAAAUGCGUAGAUAUUGGGAGGAACAUCUGUGGCGAAGGCGGCUUUCUGGACAGACACUGACGCUGAGGCGCGAAAGCCAGGGGAGCGAACGGGAUUAGAUACCCCGGUAGUCCUGGCUGUAAACGAUGAACACUUGGUGUGGGGGGUGAUGAAAGUCCCUCUGUGCCGGAGAGAACUCGUUAAGUGUUCCGCCUGGGGAGUACGGCCGCAAGGCUGAAACUUAAAGGAAUUGACGG
rnacentral:rRNA from 1 species